rnacentral:RNase_P_RNA from 1 species
GGUAAAUUUUGAGUAAUCGCGGCCUAGUUAUCUAGGCUGAGGAAAGUCCACGCCAGCACGAGCUGAGAUGCUUGUAGUGUUCGCGCUUAGCCCAAUAAGCUAAGGUACCUUUUGGUAACGGCAGUGAAAGCACUAAGGUUUUACUAUGUGUUAAUAGCUUGAAAGUGCCACAGAGACGUAGUAUCAAGGGAAAUCUUGAUAGUGGAACGAGGUAAACCCCACGAGCUGGCAACCCAAACUUUGGUAGGGGCGCUUCAUAACGAGAAAUGAAUCUACUGUGAAGGCUUAAUUGUAGAUAGAUGAUUACUAAUUGUAUCGGAAGACCGAGCCGAUACAUGAACAGAACGUGGCUUAUAGAAAUUUACUUGGU